rnacentral:rRNA from 1 species
UGUCUUAGCUUGCUAAGGCUGAUGGCGACCGGCGCACGGGUGAGUAACACGUAUCCAACCUGCCGUCUACUCUUGGCCAGCCUUCUGAAAGGAAGAUUAAUCCAGGAUGGGAUCAUGAGUUCACAUGUCCGCAUGAUUAAAGGUAUUUUCCGGUAGACGAUGGGGAUGCGUUCCAUUAGAUAGUAGGCGGGGUAACGGCCCACCUAGUCAACGAUGGAUAGGGGUUCUGAGAGGAAGGUCCCCCACAUUGGAACUGAGACACGGUCCAAACUCCUACGGGAGGCAGCAGUGAGGAAUAUUGGUCAAUGGGCGAUGGCCUGAACCAGCCAAGUAGCGUGAAGGAUGACUGCCCUAUGGGUUGUAAACUUCUUUUAUAAAGGAAUAAAGUCGGGUAUGCAUACCCGUUUGCAUGUACUUUAUGAAUAAGGAUCGGCUAACUCCGUGCCAGCAGCCGCGGUAAUACGGAGGAUCCGAGCGUUAUCCGGAUUUAUUGGGUUUAAAGGGAGCGUAGAUGGAUGUUUAAGUCAGUUGUGAAAGUUUGCGGCUCAACCGUAAAAUUGCAGUUGAUACUGGAUGUCUUGAGUGCAGUUGAGGCAGGCGGAAUUCGUGGUGUAGCGGUGAAAUGCUUAGAUAUCACGAAGAACUCCGAUUGCGAAAGCAGCCUGCUAAGCUGCAACUGACAUUGAGGCUCGAAAGUGUGGGUAUCAAACAGGAUUAGAUACCCUGGUAGUCCACACGGUAACGAUGAGUACUCGCUGUUGCGAUAUACGGCAAGCGGCCAAGCGAAGCGU